rnacentral:rRNA from 1 species
AAUCCAUAGGUUAAUGAGGCGAACCGGGGGAACUGAAACAUCUAAGUACCCCGAGGAAAAGAAAUCAACCGAGAUUCCCCCAGUAGCGGCGAGCGAACGGGGAGGAGCCCAGAGCCUGAAUCAGCAUGUGUGUUAGUGGAAGCGUCUGGAAAGGCGCGCGAUACAGGGUGACAGCCCCGUACACAAAAGCGCAUGUGCUGUGAGCUCGAUGAGUAGGGCGGGACACGUGGUAUCCUGUCUGAAUAUGGGGGGACCAUCCUCCAAGGCUAAAUACUCCUGACUGACCGAUAGUGAACCAGUACCGUGAGGGAAAGGCGAAAAGAACCCCGGCGAGGGGAGUGAAAAAGAACCUGAAACCGUGUACGUACAAGCAGUGGGAGCACAGGUUUACCUGUGUGACUGCGUACCUUUUGUAUAAUGGGUCAGCGACUUAUAUUCUGUAGCAAGGUUAACCGAAUAGGGGAGCCGGAGGGAAACCGAGUCUUAAUUGGGCGUUAAGUUGCAGGGUAUAGACCCGAAACCCGGUGAUCUAGCCAUGGGCAGGUUGAAGGUUGGGUAACACUAACUGGAGGACCGAACCGACUAAUGUUGAAAAAUUAGCGGAUGACCUGUGGCUGGGGGUGAAAGGCCAAUCAAACCGGGAGAUAGCUGGUUCUCCCCGAAAGCUAUUUAGGUAGCGCCUCGUGAAUUCAUCUCCGGGGGUAGAGCACUGUUUCGGCUAGGGGGCCAUCCCGGCUUACCAACCCGAUGCAAACUGCGAAUACCGGAGAAUGUUAUCACGGGAGACACACGGCGGGUGCUAACGUCCGUCGUGAAGAGGGAAACAACCCAGACCGCCAGCUAAGGUCCCAAAGUCAUGGUUAAGUGGGAAACGAUGUGGGAAGGCCCAGACAGCCAGGAUGUUGGCUUAGAAGCAGCCAUCAUUUAAAGAAAGCGUAAUAGCUCACUGGUCGAGUCGGCCUGCGCGGAAGAUGUAACGGGGCUAAACCAUGCACCGAAGCUGCGGCAGCGAACGUAUCACUUAAAGUGAUUCAGCGGGUUACGAUUGACGGAGCGAAGCGACGUCAAAGCGUAUACAAAGUCGAGUCGGUUUAAGGAUACGUU